UAUGAGAUUUGUAGAGUUCUCUUCUCUUGUUGUAUGUGUGCGUGAAUACUCCAAUGGAGAAAGAUGAGAGCUUGUUCUAGGUGAUUUAUGAAGAGAGAUUGAUGAGAGUGUUUAUGAGAGAAUAAGAGACUUAGGAACAAAGAUUAAGAGACUGAGAGAUUAGGAGAAUAAGAGAUUAGAGAUUAGGGUUUGAGAUUCAAGAACAAGUUUAUCAUCUAUGAAGUGGAGAGGGGAAAUCCCCCUUACUCCCUUAGGAGUUACAAAACGUUCACAACAAUGCCUUAUAUAGGCUUUUACACUUUGCAAUCAUAAACCCUUAAUCUAAUGGAUAGAAAUGACUUGAGAAAUGGAUGGCUUGGAUGUAGUCUUGUUUCUGGUCAAAGGGAGCACGAGAUGGUAGCUGAUUGGUGGAGAGGAGCUGCUGCCUGAUUGGUUAUGCUAAGGCUCCCAUGAACCUUUACUCACAUAUGUGUCUAGAUUCAUGGUCCAACUUGCUUUCCCUUUACAUCUCAUGACAGGCUGUCCUUGGACCACGCCCUCUCUCCUUUCCCUUGCUUUCCAACAGUCACAAAGAAGAUAAGGUCGUCUGAUUGCUCUUGGAAACCAACGCCCUAAGUUUGCACAGCUUCUGGUGAGUUUCCCGGAUGUGUGGUCGAGAGGUGUGGUCGUACGGUCGAUGGUACGGAUCUCCUGUCCGUACCACUCGCCCUAUUUAUGCCCAAUACUCUUCCUCCUUCUUCUGAUCAGUCUAAGUCCCUCCUGGACUUAUCUUCACAAGAUAACUACUUCAGAACACUUCUGAAGCUUGAUUGAACUCUUCUGGACAUCUUCUAGAGCUUGCCCUAUCAUUGUACAAGCUCCAUCUUCUCUUCAGUUCAACACUCCCCCUCAAGCUUGACUUUAGGAGAUCCUAAGCCAAGCUUGGAACUCUGAAGAGUCUCCCUCAUUAAAAACCUUACAAGGAAAACCCAUUGGGACAAAACCUUGUAAGGGAAAAAGAGUAGAGCUCUCCAAAGCCUAGGGAUUGGCCAGUGAACUCUUGUGCCUUAGAACCAGUGUGGUUGGACACAAGAAGCUCUGGAUCACGGCCUAACAGGUGCAGCAACUCUUCACAGCUUUGCGCACACUUCACACUUCAGCUUCACCUCUUCAUGGAACCGGUUUGAAGUCUCCCCCUCUCAACUGACUUCACAGCCAUCUUAUAGAAGCUAGGACACGACCAGAUCAUCUUCAAAACACUAGUGAGGCUGAUCAACACUUCACACACGGCUUGCCCUCUUCAUAGAACUGGUUUGGAUCUCCCCCUCUCAACAGACUUCUCAGCCAUCUUAGAGAAGCUAGGAACUGACCAGGAACAUCUUUAGUGAGGCUCAAGCAAUGGUACCUGAUACAUUAUCCCAAAGGUGCAUCAGUACCUAUCAAAAACAAGAAAAUGAAUAUCCUGCAUCACACUUGAUGCACACAAUCUCACAAUUCAAUCAUAAUCAUCUUAAGUAUCUUUUCAAGCACAAGCAAUGAAUAAGAUGAAUGAAAUAGAUUGAAAAGAGUUUUAAAAGUCUAAGGGAACUUCCCUUGUGUUUUUGUGAGUUUCCAAACUCUCUCAAUGCACCAUCUUCAUGGCAUCAUCAACUUCUUGGAAAGGCAGAAUGGAUUCAUCAGCUUCUCCUCAAUCACCUCUCAUUGAAGCCGCAUUGAUGGAGAGCCUUCCUCUUCACUCGCCAAGGCUGCUCUGAACAGCCUCUUGCCUAGACACGCCACUGACUUGGUCCGGUUGAUGAUCCUUGUAGAAGCUUUUGCAAAAGACUUGUUACUGACCAUGGAUCAUAUGCAUUAAGACUCCCCCUCAAGCUUAGAACCGAAACUAGAAGGAGCUAAGCUUGUGAUGAUCCUAUGCAUCUCCAUGGUCUAAUAACUAUCAUCUUUCAUGAUAGCUUUCUUCUUGUGAGUUUACUCUCUUCCUUAACCAGGAACUAGGGUGUUUGAAUCACCAUAGAGAGUCUCACAAAACACACUUCUCAUUGCAUAAUGACCCAUGCUACACUUCCUGUAGUCUUUGGACUGGAUAUGUCCAAUGGUAUUAUGCAAUGGCCAUCUCUCAUGCAUUAUCAAUCACACUACACUUCCUGUAGAUUAUGGACUAACAUGUCCUAGUGAUGAUAUGCAAUGGCACAAGACCUUUGUCACUACAUUCUUAGCUGUUGGCGAGUUACAUGUAUCACUUUCCUUGUGUACCUAACACCACCACAACUCAAUGCAAGAUCAGAUCAUCCCAUUGGGAUCAAACCAAGAUAAUUUAUCCUGUUUGAUCACCAAUGCCACAGCAGAAUAUAAACCUUGAAACAAGCCAAUCAAUCAAGGCAGAACAAGCAGGUUUCAAUCUCUAAAAUGACAAUGCAAGAUUUAAACAAUACAUUGACAAUUUAGGCUUAUUUUUAAAUGCAUCAAUACAUGAAUGCACAAUCCUAAAGCAUUAACUAUAUGAAUGCAACAGGUUCAAUCCAUGAGACAUAUUAAUCAAGACCAAUGAGGCAAGCAACUUAGACAAUUUCUAAGGGUUAGGAGGUUUGCUUACAAACAAGAGAUCCGAGCUGAUCUCUUGAACCUCCAUGGGCACGGUUCACUUGAACUUGGCAGGUUUGAGGCUUGGAUUCAAUAUCCAACACCUCUCCUUGGUGUGCCCAUCCCUCUUGCAAUGUUCACACCGAUUGUUCCUAUCCCUCUUGGCGAGUAAUAGGCAAAACACCUUGUCUUGCUCCCUUCUUUCAAUCAACACCUCCGGAUCAACAGAUUGGGGUCUAAGCAUCUCUAGCUCAGACCAAAGGGCUCUGAACUUGCCUAGAUGCACAGUGAACUCCUCAUCUUCUUGGGAUAGGAUGUUGAUGAACUUCUUGAUCUCAAAUACUCGACAGAGGUUGGAGAUGUACCCAUAUAUCUUGUUAAGUGUACUCCAAAGGUCUUUAGCACUCUCACAGUAUGAGUAUGCUUCAAGGAUGGAUGGAGACAUUGAGCUAUGGAGAAUGGAUAAGACCUUGAGGUCUUCUUGUUCCCACUUCUCCUCAGAUACGGAUUUGGAACCGGAUUCACCAUCUGCUGAGCUUUCAUUUGAACCGGCAGCCUUGGAGAGCUUUGGAGCAUCCGUGAGGCAAUGGCUCCAUAAGCCUCUCCCUCCUAGAGCUGUCUUUACCAUGCGUGACCAGAUGGUCUUGGUUUAAAUUGCCUCACCCUCCUGGUGAUGCUCUUCUUUGUAUGUCAACUGUCCUCUCUACACUCAUCUGAUGUGUAGGCUAUGGUGACUGAACCACCAUGGACAGAACAACAAGUCAUCUCUCCAUUGUCACAACAUCCUCUCUACCCUCUUUGGAGCAGGCUGUGGACUUCCCACAGAAUGUUGGCAACAGGCUUCAUUUUAUCAUUCUAUUGUAAUGAUAAGGAGGAAACAGGUCUUGAACUUUAGCUCUUCAGGUUGCUCAUUUGAAUAUUUAGCACCGCAAGCUUGAGACCGAGAAUAGGUGAGAUCCAAGCUUGAAAUGAGCCUCAAUGAACUUCAAGACCAGGAGCACAUCACCCUAACAGCUGCGCUUAAAUCACUGAUCCACCCUUUUGCCUUUAGCUUCAAGUACCCUCAGAUCACCGGCCUUCCUCAUGGCUUAGGUGGUGACCUUCUUCUUCUUGUGUGUCUUGAACCAGGAGCUCAACAACCUCGUGGCCUGCGCUUCUUAAACCGGCUUCUACACACAAGAACCUUCCCAUUGCUCCACACAAUGGUUGGUCUUCCGCUUGUAUGUCUUGAACCAGGAGCUCAACAACCUCGUGGCCUGCGCUUCUUAAACCAGCUUCUACACACAAGUAUCUUCCCAUUGCUCCACACAAUGGUUCAAGUCUUCCUCUUGUCUUGGAUAGGAGGUGAGCAGAGAACACUUCUUGUGAACCUGAAACACCACUCAAACUCCAGCAAGGAUAAGACACAAGAGUAUUGGGAUCAAUCCUUGAUUAAUCAUCAAGUUUGAUUCCCAAUCUCACAAGCAUUGCAACGAAUUAAAACAAGUCAUUUUCAAGUUCUAUCUUUGCAAGCAAUCUCUCUAAGCACAAGCAUUUUCUUUUUCAGUUUAUGCAAGCUACUUAGGCAUUUUAAAGCUUCUUUACUCAGCAUUUAGACAUGAAUCUAAUGCUUCAAUGUAAGACAGCCACAAGACUAUAUGCAACAGCUUUCAAUUCGGUUUCAAUCCAUGUAUGCAAGCAGAUUCAAUCAAUCACAACAAGCAUCAUUAUGAACCGGAGAUAAGCAUAUUAACAUACCUAGUAAUCCUAGUAAUACUGUUAAAUUACUAGUCCUUUUAAAGCGCUUACACAACUGCUAGUAAACUUAGUAUAACUAGUACACUUAAAGGAUUACUAGGGAACCAAGCUCUUUAAGCAUCCUGGGACAGAUUCUAAAUUCAUUUUAUUUCAUUUAGUAAUCUUUUAAACAGUCCUCAGGUUUUCAAUCACAUCACAACAUCACAACCAGUCAACAACACAAGCUCAUUAUCAAGAUGGUUUAUAGAAUUGCUUACAACAAGGAACCAGGUUGAUUCCUUUUGCAUUUUGUGAAACCGGCCAUGACUGUUGUUGGAACUGAGAGUCUAGAUCAUCACCCACCUCCUUCUCCUUCAGUUCAUGGCCACCAUCUUGUACCAUCAACUCAAAAGACCCCUCCUUUCUUCAGAACAUCUAGGCGCCAAGCUCUUGGCACCAUACUCUUUUAGCCUGAUGUGGAACUUCUCUUGGACAAGGAGCUUUGGAGUCAGGUUAGUUAGGCCUCUCCAUACACCUUUGCCUCCAAGGAUAAUCUCCAUCUGAGCAGGUAGAGAACAGGAUGAGGAACCAAGGGAACUCGCCAAGCUUCAGCCUUCUUCUUCAUAAGGGACUGAACUGGAUGGGAAAGCAUCAAUGGUUUGGUUUUGAGCUGAGGCGUGAGCUGUGGACUUGCGGAAGCUUCAGCUCAGGUUCUGAUGAACCUGGCUCUGAUACCAUAUGAGAUUUGUAGAGUUCUCUUCUCUUGUUGUAUGUGUGCGUGAAUACUCCAAUGGAGAAAGAUGAGAGCUUGUUCUAGGUGAUUUAUGAAGAGAGAUUGAUGAGAGUGUUUAUGAGAGAAUAAGAGACUUAGGAACAAAGAUUAAGAGACUGAGAGAUUAGGAGAAUAAGAGAUUAGAGAUUAGGGUUUGAGAUUCAAGAACAAGUUUAUCAUUUAUGAAGUGGAGAGGGGAAAUCCCCCUUACUCCCUUAGGAGUUACAAAACGUUCACAACAAUGCCUUAUAUAGGCUUUUACACUUUGCAAUCAUAAACCCUUAAUCUAAUGGAUAGAAAUGACUUGAGAAAUGGAUGGCUUGGAUGUAGUCUUGUUUCUGGUCAAAGGGAGCACGAGAUGGUAGCUGAUUGGUGGAGAGGAGCUGCUGCCUGAUUGGUUAUGCUAAGGCUCCCAUGAACCUUUACUCACAUAUGUGUCUAGAUUCAUGGUCCAACUUGCUUUCCCUUUACAUCUCAUGACAGGCUGUCCUUGGACCACGCCCUCUCUCCUUUCCCUUGCUUUCCAACAGUCACAAAGAAGAUAAGGUCGUCUGAUUGCUCUUGGAAACCAACGCCCUAAGUUUGCACAGCUUCUGGUGAGUUUCCCGGAUGUGUGGUCGAGAGGUGUGGUCGUACGGUCGAUGGUACGGAUCUCCUGUCCGUACCACUCGCCCUAUUUAUGCCCAAUACUCUUCCUCCUUCUUCUGAUCAGUCUAAGUCCCUCCUGGACUUAUCUUCACAAGAUAACUACUUCAGAACACUUCUGAAGCUUGAUUGAACUCUUCUGGACAUCUUCUAGAGCUUGCCCUAUCAUUGUACAAGCUCCAUCUUCUCUUCAGUUCAACACGCCCCCUCAAGCUUGACUUUAGGAGAUCCUAAGCCAAGCUUGGAACUCUGAAGAGUCUCCCUCAUUAAAAACCUUACAAGGAAAACCCAUUGGGACAAAACCUUGUAAGGGAAAAAGAGUAGAGCUCUCCAAAGCCUAGGGAUUGGCCAGUGAACUCUUGUGCCUUAGAACCAGUGUGGUUGGACACAAGAAGCUCUGGAUCACGGCCUAACAGGUGCAGCAACUCUUCACAGCUUUGCGCACACUUCACACUUCAGCUUCACCUCUUCAUGGAACCGGUUUGAAGUCUCCCCCUCUCAACUGACUUCACAGCCAUCUUAGAGAAGCUAGGACACGACCAGAUCAUCUUCAAAACACUAGUGAGG
rnacentral:lncRNA from 1 species